GAUGAACGCUGGCGGCGUGCCUAAUACAUGCAAGUCGAGCGAACAGACGAGGAGCUUGCUCCUCUGACGUUAGCGGCGGUCGGGUGAGUAACACGUGGAUAACCUACCUAUAAGACUGGGAUAACUUCGGGAAACCGGAGCUAAUACCGGAUAAUAUAUUGAACCGCAUGGUUCAAUAGUGAAAGACGGUUUUGCUGUCACUUAUAGAUGGAUCCGCGCCGCGUUAGCUAGUUGGUAAGGUAACGGCUUACCAAGGCAACGAUGCGUAGCCGACCUGAGAGGGUGAUCGGCCACACUGGAACUGAGACACGGUCCAGACUCCUACGGGAGGCAGCAGUAGGGAAUCUUCCGCAAUGGGCGAAAGCCUGACGGAGCAACGCCGCGUGAGUGAUGAAGGUCUUCGGAUCGUAAAACUCUGUUAUUAGGGAAGAACAAAUGUGUAAGUAACUAUGCACGUCUUGACGGUACCUAAUCAGAAAGCCACGGCUAACUACGUG
rnacentral:rRNA from 1 species